rnacentral:rRNA from 1 species
UACGUAGGGGGCAAGCGUUGUCCGGAAUCAUUGGGCGUAAAGAGCGUGUAGGCGGCUCGAUAAGUCUGCUGUGAAAGUCCAGGGCUCAACCCUGGAAGGCCGGUGGAUACUGUCGGGCUCGAGUCCGGAAGAGGAGUGUGGAAUUCCUGGUGUAGCGGUGAAAUGCGUAGAUAUCUGGAGGAAUACCGGUGGCGAAGGCGGCAUCCUGGACCGACAUUGACGCUGAACGGCGAAAGCUAGGGGAGCAAACGGG